UACAGAGGUCUCAAGCGUUGUUCGGAUUCAUUGGGCGUAAAGGGUGCGUAGGCGGCGCGGUAAGUCGGGUGUGAAAUCUCGGGGCUUAACUCCGAAACUGCAUUCGAUACUGCCGUGCUUGAGGACUGGAGAGGAGACUGGAAUUUACGGUGUAGCGGUGAAAUGCGUAGAUAUCGUAAGGAAGGCCAGUGGCGAAGGCGGGUCUCUGGACAGUUCCUGACGCUGAGGCACGAAGGCCAGGGGAGCAAACGGG
rnacentral:rRNA from 1 species